CCGGGCCGGGCCGGGCUGAGGCGCCGCGCCCUGAGGCGGCCUCUUUGGGUGCGAAAUGCUGAGGACGCUGCAUGUGCUAAUAUGUGAAUGGCUUAAUGAAGCAGCGUGACCAUCUCAUGCAGUACAGGAGCAUGUAGUGCGGUUACAUUUAUCGUUUCUAUGCUACUCAUCUUGGAUAUCU